rnacentral:rRNA from 1 species
UACGUAGGGGGCAAGCGUUGUUCGGAAUUACUGGGCGUAAAGAGUGUGUAGGCGGUGCUCUAAGUUCGGUGUGAAAUCUCCCGGCUUAACUGGGAGGGUGCGCCGGAAACUGGAGUGCUCGAGCGUGGGAGAGGAAAGCGGAAUUCCUGGUGUAGCGGUGAAAUGCGUAGAUAUCAGGAGGAACACCUGCGGUGUAGACGGCUUUCUGGACCAUUGCUGACGCUGAGACACGAAAGCGUGGGUAGCAAACAGG